ACGGAGGAUGCAAGCGUUAUCCGGAAUGAUUGGGCGUAAAGCGUCCGCAGGUGGCUUUGUAAGUCUGCUGUCAAAGAGCGAAGCUCAACUUCGUAAAGGCAGUGGAAACUACAAGGCUAGAGUGCGUUCGGGGCAGAGGGAAUUCCUGGUGUAGCGGUGAAAUGCGUAGAGAUCAGGAAGAACACCGGUGGCGAAGGCGCUCUGCUAGGCCGCAACUGACACUGAGGGACGAAAGCUAGGGGAGCGAAUGGGA
rnacentral:rRNA from 1 species